ACCCGCUGAACUUAAGCAUAUCAAUAAGCGGAGGAAAAGAAACUAACAAGGAUUCCCCUAGUAACUGCGAGUGAAGCGGGAAAAGCUCAAAUUUAAAAUCUGGCGGUUCUUGUAGCCGUCCGAGUUGUAAUUUAGAGAAGUGUUAUCCGCGUUGGACCGUGUACAAGUCUCCUGGAAUGGAGCGUCAUAGAGGGUGAGAAUCCCGUCUUUGACACGGACUGCCAAGGCAUUGUGAUGCGCUCUCAAAGAGUCGAGUUGUUUGGGAAUGCAGCUCAAAAUGGGUGGUAAAUUCCAUCUAAAGCUAAAUAUUGAGGAGAGACCGAUAGCGAACAAGUACCGUGAGGGAAAGAUGAAAAGAACUUUGGAAAGAGAGUUAAACAGUACGUGAAAUUGCUGAAAGGGAAACGCUUGAAGUCAGUCGCGUCGCUCAGGACUCAGCCUUGCUUUGCUUGGUGUACUUCCUGUUCGACGGGUCAGCAUCAAUUUUGGUCGGUGGAUAAAGGCUUAGAGAAUGUGGCAUCUUCGGGUGUGUUAUAGCUCUGGGUCGCAUACAUCGGCUGGGAUUGAGGAACUCAGCACGCCGCAAGGCCGGGGACUUGUCCCACGUACGUGCUUAGGAUGCUGGCAUAAUGGCUUUAAUCGACCCGUCUUGAAACACGG
rnacentral:rRNA from 1 species